rnacentral:rRNA from 1 species
GAUGAACGCUAGCUACAGGCUUAACACAUGCAAGUCGAGGGGUAACGAGAGGAAAGCUUGCUUUCCUUGUCGACGACCGGCGCACGGGUGAGUAACGCGUAUCCAACCUGCCCCCAACUAGGGAAUAACCUUGCGAAAGUAAGACUAAUACCCUAUAAUUUCCUCAGAUGUCAUCUGACGAGGAAUAAAGAUUUAUCGGUUGUGGAUGGGGAUGCGUCUGAUUAGCUUGUUGGCGGGGUAACGGCCCACCAAGGCAACGAUCAGUAGGGGUUCUGAGAGGAAGGUCCCCCACAUUGGAACUGAGACACGGUCCAAACUCCUACGGGAGGCAGCAGUGAGGAAUAUUGGUCAAUGGGCGGAAGCUUGAACCAGCCAAGUAGCGUGCAGGAUGACGGCCCUAUGGGUUGUAAACUGCUUUUAUACAGGAAUAAAGUUAGCCACGUGUGGUUAUUUGUAGGUACUGUAUGAAUAAGGACCGGCUAAUUCCGUGCCAGCAGCCACAGUAA